GGGUCUGUAGCUCAGGUGGUUAGAGCGUUCGCCUGAUAAGCGAGAGGUCGGUGGUUCGAGUCCACUCAGACCCACCAAU
rnacentral:tRNA from 1 species